UACGUAGGGGCCUAGCGUUGUCCGGAUUUAUUGGGCGUAAAGAGCUCGUAGGCGGCACGGUCAGUCAGAUGUGAAAUCUCCACGCUCAACGUGGAGAGGUCAUUUGAUACUGCCGAGCUUGAGUCCGGUAGGGGAGUGUGGAAUUCCCGGUGUAGCGGUGAAAUGCGCAGAUAUCGGGAGGAACACCCGUAGCGAAGGCGGCAUCCUGGACCGAUACUGACGCUGAGGAGCGAAAGCCAGGGGAGCAAACGGG
rnacentral:rRNA from 1 species